rnacentral:rRNA from 1 species
GACGAACGCUGGCGGCGUGCUUAACACAUGCAAGUCGAACGGAAAGGCCCUGCUUUUGUGGGAUGCUCGAGUGGCGAAAGGGUGAGUAACACGUGAGUAACCUGCCCUUGACUUUGGGAUAACUUCAGGAAACUGGGGCUAAUACCGGAUAGGAGCUCCUGCUGCAUGGUGGGGGUUGGAAAGUUUCGGCGGUUGGGGAUGGACUCGCGGCUUAUCAGCUUGUUGGUGGGGUAGUGGCUUACCAAGGCUUUGACGGGUAGCCGGCCUGGGAGGGUGACCGGCCACAUAGGGACUGAGAUACGGCCAAGACGCCUACGGGAGGCAGCAGUGGGGAAUAUUGCACAAUGGGCGGAAGCCUGAUGCAGCAACGCCGGGUGCGGGAUGACGGCCUGCGGGUUGUAACCCGCUUUCGCCUGGGACGAAGCGUGAGUGACGGUAAUGGGUAAAGAAGCACCGGCUAACUACGUG